UACAGAGGUCUCGAGCGUUAGGCGGAAUCACUGGGCUUAAAGCGUGUGUAGGCGGAUUGGUAAGUACCUUGUGAAAUCCCGCGGCUCAACCGUGGAACUGCCUCAGAUACUGACGGCCUCGAGGGAGGUAGGGGCGAGCGGAACUCUCAGUGGAGCGGUGAAAUGCGUUGAUAUUGGGAGGAACUCCGGUGGCGAAAGCGGCUCGCUGGGCCUCUUCUGACGCUGAUGCGCGAAAGCUAGGGGAGCAAACGGG
rnacentral:rRNA from 1 species